AAUAAACCAAGGAGUGAGUGUUUGCAUAGUUUUCCUACCCUUUCACCACCACAGGAAAGACAAUUCAAUGGACCCUGGAGUGGGAUGGCAGAUACAUCAUCAUCUGCAAUCGUUCGGUCAAAGUGGCAGCCACUCGCCACAUGUGGCUAUCGAGCACUUGAAAUAUGGUUAGACUGAAUGGAGAUGUGCAAUGGCAUGAUUGUCUAUUAAGGAAAUCCCAAAGAAUCAACAACAACAAGAACAAAAACUUUUGGAACUAAUAAGUGGAUAUAACAAGGUUGCAGGAUAAAAGUGUGUACUCCUUCUACCUAUAUAAGAAAAGCAAACUGCAAAGACAGCCUAAAGCAUGUCCUUCGGGAAGUACUCAAAAAGAAGGCCCUGUUAUCAUAGGAGAUGACAGCUCCAUGCAUGUUAUUGGUCCUAGAGGCCUUCAGUGGGACAAGAUGUGGAGGUGGAAGAGAGUGAUAUUGAUCAUCCUGACCCUGUAUAGGCUUAAGCUAAGUGUUUCAUUGUUCAGGACUUGCAACUGGGCUAAUGGAAGGCAAGAAUAAAAAGAAAAAAAUGUCUACCUUUGAUACUGUUAAAAGAGAAAACAGUUUUUCGCUGUCUUCCCACCUACUGGUUAUGUCUGAUUCAGUUCCAGCGACCUUGAAGUUGGAAGGAAAGCCUCUGCCCUUCAGACUUCUUCAUCCCUGAGUUGAGUUUCAUGGAAAAGCAGCCUCUGGGAGUAACAAGUACAGAUGCAGUUUCACCAUGUUAGCCAGGAUGGUCUUGAUCUCCUGACCUUGUGAUCCACCUGCCUCGGCCUCCCAGAGUUCUGAGAUGACAAGUGUGAGCCACUGCACCUGGCCAAUAAUUUUAUUUUUAAACAUAUCACUGCACUCCCACAUCCAUCUCCAGCUCUCAGAACUCCAGGCUAAAGGAAACCUAAUGAUCUUCAUUCAAGCAACUCAUCAUUCCUUUCCUUGUAGAGGAGCAGAGAGGAGCAGAUGUUAGCUUGGGAAAGAUUUAAACAGUUAAAGAAACCCAGUGAAAACAAG
rnacentral:lncRNA from 1 species